AUGACUAAGAUUUAUAUUAUUUGGAUGAAUUAACCAUACUAAUCAUAUAUUUACACACCUUGUACCACAAGGUACACCGCCCGCAUUAAUAUCAUUUAUAGUACUAAUUGAAACAAUUAGUAAUGUUAUUCGACCAGGUACAUUAGUAGUACGGUUAGCAGCAAAUAUAAUUGCAGGACACUUAUUAUUAACCUUAUUAGGAAACACAGGACCAUCUAUAGCAAUAAACUUAAUCUCAUUACUAAUUAUUGGACAAAUACUUCUAUUAAUUCUAGAAUCAGCAGUAGCAAUAAUUGAAGCCUAUGUUUUCUCAAUUCUAAGAACUCUAUAUUCUAGAGAAGUAUAUUAAACCUAUGUUAACAACUCACUCAAACCACCCAUUCCACUUAGUAGACUAUAGACCUUGACCAUUAACAGGAGCAAUUGGAGCAAUAGUCCUAGUAUCAGGACUAGCAAAAUGAUUCCACCUAUUUAAUAUUAACUUAUUUAUAAUUGGAUUUGGAAUUUCCCUACUAACCAUAAUUCAAUGAUGACGAGAUGUAGUACGAGAAGGAACAUAUCAAGGAUUACAUACAGGAUUUGUAUCAAUUGGAUUACGAUGAGGAAUAAUUUUAUUUAUUGCAUCAGAGGUAUUAUUUUUCGUUUCUUUUUUUUGAGCAUUCUUUAGAAAAAGAUUAGCACCAACAAUUGAACUAGGAAUACUAUGACCUCCAAUAGGAAUUCAACCCUUAAACCCUAUACAAAUUCCAUUACUUAAUACAGCUAUUCUUUUAGCAUCAGGAGUAACAGUAACAUGAGCACAUCAUAGUUUAAUGGAAUCUAAUCAUACUCAAGCACUACAAGCAUUAUUCUUCACAGUGUUAUUAGGACUAUACUUUACAAUACUCCAAGCAUAUGAAUAUUGAGAAGCACCUUUUACCAUUGCAGAUACAGUUUAUGGGUCAACAUUCUUUGUUGCAACAGGAUUCCAUGGUUUACACGUAAUUAUUGGAACAAUCUUUUUAUCAACAUGUCUACUUCGACACUCAAUAAAUCAAUUCUCACCAAGACACCACUUUGGAUUUGAAGCAGCAGCAUGAUACUGACACUUCGUAGACGUAGUAUGAUUAUUCUUAUAUAUCUCUAUUUAUUGAUGAGGUAGAUAAUU